rnacentral:rRNA from 1 species
AACGAACGCUGGCGGCAGGCUUAACACAUGCAAGUCGAACGCCCCGCAAGGGGAGUGGCAGACGGGUGAGUAACGCGUGGGAAUCUACCCAGUUCUACGGAACAACAGUUGGAAACGACUGCUAAUACCGUAUACGCCCUACGGGGGAAAGAUUUAUCGGAAUUGGAUGAGCCCGCGUUGGAUUAGCUAGUUGGUGGGGUAAAGGCCUACCAAGGCGACGAUCCAUAGCUGGUCUGAGAGGAUGAUCAGCCACACUGGGACUGAGACACGGCCCAGACUCCUACGGGAGGCAGCAGUGGGGAAUAUUGGACAAUGGGCGCAAGCCUGAUCCAGCCAUGCCGCGUGAGUGAUGAAGGCCUUAGGGUUGUAAAGCUCUUUCAGUAGGGAAGAUAAUGACGGUACCUACAGAAGAAGCCCCGGCUAACUUCGUGCCAGCAGCCGCGUAAAAC